UACGUAGGGUGCAAGCGUUGUCCGGAAUUAUUGGGCGUAAAGAGCUCGUAGGCGGUCUGUCGCGUCUGCUGUGAAAACUCAGGGCUUAACCCUGAGCUUGCAGUGGGUACGGGCAGACUAGAGUGCGGUAGGGGAGACUGGAAUUCCUGGUGUAGCGGUGAAAUGCGCAGAUAUCAGGAGGAACACCGGUGGCGAAGGCGGGUCUCCGGGCCGUAACUGACGCUGAGGAGCGAAAGCAUGGGGAGCGAACAGG
rnacentral:rRNA from 1 species